UCAAACUUGGUCAUUUAGAGGAAGUAAAAGCCGUAACAAGGUCUCCGUUGGUGAACCAGCGGAGGGAUCAUUACAGAGUUGCAAAACUCCCAAACCCUUGUGAACAUACCUGUACGUCGUUGCUUCGGCGGGUAGCCCUGUUACAGGGGCCUAGCCUCCCAGUGAGGUGCCCGCCGGAGGACCAAAUACAAACUCUUGCAAAUAGUGGCCUCUCUGAGUAUUAUAACAAAUAAGUUAAAACUUUCAACAACGGAUCUCUUGGUUCUGGCAUCGAUGAAGAACGCAGC
rnacentral:misc_RNA from 1 species